GGAUCCACACUUUGAUUAUGGCUCAGGAUGAACGCUGGCGGCGUGCUUAACACAUGCAAGUCGAACGAAGCACUCUAUUUGAUUUUCUUCGGAAAUGAGGAUUUUGUGACUGAGUGGCGGACGGGUGAGUAACGCGUGGGUAACCUGCCUCAUACAGGGGGAUAACAGUUGGAAACGACUGCUAAUACCGCAUAAGCGCACAGGAUCGCAUGAUCCGGUGUGAAAAACUCCGGUGGUAUGAGAUGGACCCGCGUCUGAUUAGCCAGUUGGCAGGGUAACGGCCUACCAAAGCGACGAUCAGUAGCCGACCUGAGAGGGUGACCGGCCACAUUGGGACUGAGACACGGCCCAAACUCCUACGGGAGGCAGCAGUGGGGAAUAUUGCACAAUGGGGGAAACCCUGAUGCAGCGACGCCGCGUGAGCGAAGAAGUAUUUCGGUAUGUAAAGCUCUAUCAGCAGGGAAGAAGAAUGACGGUACCUGACUAAGAAGCACCGGCUAAAUACGUGCCAGCAGCCGCGGUAAUACGUAUGGUGCAAGCGUUAUCCGGAUUUACUGGGUGUAAAGGGAGCGCAGGCGGUGCGGCAAGUCUGAUGUGAAAGCCCGGGGCUCAACCCCGGUACUGCAUUGGAAACUGUCGUACUAGAGUGUCGGAGGGGUAAGUGGAAUUCCUAGUGUAGCGGUGAAAUGCGUAGAUAUUAGGAGGAACACCAGUGGCGAAGGCGGCUUACUGGACGAUAACUGACGCUGAGGCUCGAAAGCGUGGGGAGCAAACAGGAUUAGAUACCCUGGUAGUCCACGCUGUAAACGAUGAAUACUAGGUGUCGGGGAGCAUUGCUCUUCGGUGCCGCAGCAAACGCAAUAAGUAUUCCAC
rnacentral:rRNA from 1 species